CAGAGUCCCCUCAAGAGAAAAAAAAGGCAUAUAAAAAGGAAGCUGAAAUUCCUCAAGGAUAACGGCAAGGCAGCGGUCACCUGAUGCAAAACCGCUUUGGAGGGGCUGGCACCUGCAGGGCCCCUAUGCCUGCAGUGUCACCUCCCGGUCACCAAGCAUGAGCAGGAGGGGGAAAUGGAGCUGUAAAAAUCCCCAGCUCGUGUGCAGAGAGCUGUGAGGGGCUGCCGGAAAGCUGCAUUAGCCCAGUUCUACAUGCUAGCAGGGAGGCAUCCCUACCAUGAGAAUAUUACAAAAAUAAAUCACAGGAAUGCAUUUCUACCAGGGUUCAGGAGUCCAAAAGGAAGAAAAAUCACUUAGAUUAGUUUGAAGCCCUUUGGAAAUGCAGUCGUCACUCAGCCUAGCAUGUGAUAAAGAAAACUAAUGUGUCCAAUGCAUCCUCUCUGGAAAGCUUGCUUGGUCUAAAUAUCGAUUGGUUUUACUACCAGCCAAGGAAAGGCAGCCACUCUCCAAUAACGCAGAAACUGUGCUUGUUUUAAGCAUCAAUUGUGACAACAUCAUUAAAAAAUCAGCAUCAUUACAACCACAAGGACCUUUUCCAUGUGAGAGCACAUAAAACAUUAGUAGUGAACUUCCGUCUGCUGACAUAUGUGUUGCACCCUCCAAAUGAACUGGAAAGAAGGUAGAAAGUAGAGGUUUAUCAGGCAUCAAGUUCAGCCAUCCAAAUAUCACAAUCCUCAUUUUUGUUGCUAGCUCUAUGCAAUUUUGAAAUGGUUUGUAAAUUUAAUUGUCGGUGUAUGGAGUGUAUGUAGGCCAUGCACAAGCAACAGCGCUGCUAGGAUUAAGCAGCUCUCUUUUUUUAGGCAAGUAGGUCUAACCUGCUUUGUUGGAAGCAAAAUGAACCUUUUUAAGUUCGGUUAUUGACACCAUCAAUGAACAAAGCAACGAAGCUGAUGUUGCAGCAGCAGAUGACUGAGCCAAGAUGCAACUGACUCCCCAUAGGCAGUAAUGAGCAUGACUUGUGAAGUAGUAAACUACUUGCCAAUGAAAAGCAAAAAUUGUUAUAAGUGAGACUUUACAGCUAGAAAAUAUUUUAGAAAAAUUAAUAGCAGUGAUCAUAUACCAAUGCAUAGUUAAUUACAUCAAUGUUGAGGCUCUAGCAAAAGGCUACCACUGCUUUUCCAGGAUCACUGGAUGGCAGCUGUACCUAUGAAUUGAAGCAGUGUGUCCAUAAAUUAAUGCCUAUUUAGCUUGGCGUAUUUGAUUUUUUUUUUCCUUAUUUGCUUUCCCGUAAACUCCUGUUUCAAAGAUUUAUGUCAGAGAGGCAAUUUUCUUCCCAGGAGAGUUAUCUUUUAGUCACAAAAGUAGGUCCCCAGAAUCACAGCUUAUUGCAACAGCACAGAAGAAUAAGUCAAGAGUUAUCACCAAGUACAGCCAAUUCAAAAAAAAUCAUUUUUUUCAUUUUGGAUUAUUUUUCAGUUCCAAAUCCAGUUUCUGAGUUAUGAUUAUGAGGCUCUCAGCUCUAGGCUCAGUUCUAACUAAAAUUUUCAAGAAAUCACAGGACUAUUGUGUUGAAAAGCCCUCUCAGAAAUUAAAGGAAAACAUACAGCUGUUGAGCUGAUGGCUUGGAAAUGCACCACGUAGCCCUCAUCGCAUGAAAUGUUAGCUCAAACUCACAAGUGUGCUCAAAUUACUCUUUGUCUGCUGGUGACCUCUGUCUUUUGAGCUUAACUCACCGUUGCAGAAGCCCAAAGGAGUAAUGUAUGGAGUCUGAAUGCUAGUGUACCUCUCUACCCUAUGUCAAGUAGAACAGUGUUCACCUUUACUACCUUAUGAAGGUGAAAACUAAGGACUUCUGGAAAAGUGAAAGUAUUCAAGCAGGAUUUUGAACAUUACCAGAAAGAGCUACUGGGAAAAAUUUGAUAGGUGCCGUGUGUAUGAACAAGAACAAGAGACUGGGAGCAUUAAUAAAAGCAUCAAUUAACAAGAACAUGCAAAGUGAGAGAUGUCAUCAGGCACCAAAUCAGUUAAUUAAGUCCAGAAAUGAAACUUAGAUAUUUCUUCUGUGGAUUACCUGCAUUCCUUUAUUCAUUGUUUUGAGCAGACUACAAGGUCUUCAUUCUACGUUGGAACUCCGUGGGGACAAUUCUUACGGGUUUUGACAGUGAGCAUCUAAACAGCACCACAGCACUGUGGGGCAUUCGAGGUGAAGUCAUUCUUAUUGAAGGAGCCAGCAUAAUUUCUCUGCACCAUUUAAAUCCAAACAAAUCCUAUUUUAAGCACUUUGGAAUGACUUGAGUGAUGCAAAGGCCUUUUCUUGGGCUUUCUGCCCG
rnacentral:lncRNA from 7 species